UACGGAGGGUGCGAGCGUUAAUCGGAAUUACUGGGCGUAAAGCGCGCGUAGGCGGCUUUGCAAGUCGAGUGUGAAAUCCCCAGGCUUAACCUGGGAACUGCAUUCGAGACUGCAUAGCUAGAGUAUGGGAGAGGGAAGUGGAAUUUCAGGUGUAGCGGUGAAAUGCGUAGAUAUCUGAAGGAACAUCAGUGGCGAAAGCGACUUCCUGGACCAAUACUGACGCUCAUGUGCGAAAGCGUGGGGAGCAAACAGG
rnacentral:rRNA from 1 species